GGCUCCGUAGCUCAGUUGGUUAGAGCGUCGUGCUAAUAACGCGAAUGUCGAGGGUUCGAUCCCCUCUGGAGCCA
rfam:Schistosoma mansoni strain Puerto Rico chromosome 2, complete genome